UAGAGUUUGAUCCUGGCUCAGAUUGAACGCUGGCGGCAUGCCUUACACAUGCAAGUCGAACGGCAGCACGGGAGCAAUCCUGGUGGCGAGUGGCGAACGGGUGAGUAAUAUAUCGGAACGUGCCCAGUCGUGGGGGAUAACGCAGCGAAAGCUGUGCUAAUACCGCAUACGAUCUAUGGAUGAAAGCGGGGGAUCGCAAGACCUCGCGCGAUUGGAGCGGCCGAUAUCAGAUUAGCUAGUUGGUGGGGUAAAAGCCCACCAAGGCGACGAUCUGUAGCUGGUCUGAGAGGACGACCAGCCACACUGGAACUGAGACACGGUCCAGACUCCUACGGGAGGCAGCAGUGGGGAAUUUUGGACAAUGGGCGAAAGCCUGAUCCAGCAAUGCCGCGUGCAGGACGAAGGCCUUCGGGUUGUAAACUGCUUUUGUACGGAACGAAACGGUCUCUUCU
rnacentral:rRNA from 1 species